UGGGGAAUAUUGCACAAUGGGCGCAAGCCUGAUGCAGCCAUGCCGCGUGUAUGAAGAAGGCCUUCGGGUUGUAAAGUACUUUCAGCGGGGAGGAAGGCGAUAAGGUUAAUAACCUUGUCGAUUGACGUUACCCGCAGAAGAAGCACCGGCUAACUCCGUGCCAGCAGCCGCGGUAAUACGGAGGGUGCAAGCGUUAAUCGGAAUUACUGGGCGUAAAGCGCACGCAGGCGGUCUGUCAAGUCGGAUGUGAAAUCCCCGGGCUCAACCUGGGAACUGCUUUCGAAACUGGCAGGCUAGAGUCUUGUAGAGGGGGGUAGAAUUCCAGGUGUAGCGGUGAAAUGCGUAGAGAUCUGGAGUAAUACCGGUGGCGAAUGCGGCCCCCUGGACAAAGACUGACGCUCAGGUGCGAAAGCGUGGGGAGCAAACA
rnacentral:rRNA from 1 species